CCAGGAAGUUCCCAUUCCGCCAGGAAGGUUGACAUAGGAGCUCAUGUGAGAAUAGAGACAGUCAUAAGCGCAUGUGAACGAUACCUCCAGCAGUGGACUAACAUUUGAAUAAGAAGAUGCUGCGUUUACUCUUUCUGUUUUUGAUUCUUCGAGGUGCGGUUGCAACAUCAGAAGACACAGAAGGAAAUUCUUCAGGAGAUGACAUCGAUGACGAUGAAGACGUUGACAAUCAAGUGUAUGCAAGUCCUGGAGAAAUUCCUAAAGCAAGUCCUGGAUCAGAUAAAUCCACAGAAGAUAAUGAAGGUGGAGCAUUGGCAAUCAUCAUAGCUGCCGUUAGCGUCAUAGUUCUGGCUAUUGGAGGUAUUGUAGCUAUUGUCCUCUGCAGACGCUACUUGCAAAGCCGGGAACAGGGGGUCUACUCUGUUCCAGCAGAGCAAGGACAGAAAGCUGCUGUCUAACCAUGAGGGCCUUUUCAUUUCCUCUCUCCACUGGAUCCUUUCAGGGAUGAGCUGCAAGCAUGUGGUUUCUCAUCCGAACGGGUCUAUGUCUAUAGCGGAUUCUAUAACGUCAGUAGACGAGAAUGUGUUGCUAUCAUACAUUUUCUAUGAACUGUUUUUAAAAGCACAAUGUAUACCGUUCAUGCACACAUGCCAUAUGUUGCACUCACAGAGAAAGUCCUUUGUAGAAUACAGCUCAUAGGGACUUUUUCCUCUCCACCUGCAAUUACUUUUUAUUUAAAUCAAGUUCAGACCAUUUUUGAAACUGCUUAAAGGUGUGUAAUAUUUUCCAUCUUUAGAUACUUUCUCCUUAAAAGUAAGCUAUUCGUAGUUUUUUUUUCCACAUUUCCAAAUAUAAACAAACACUGUGGCUCUGGUUUAUUUGAGCAAACUGAUGCAACAACAUUGGUUCAGCCAAGGGCGUGAGUUUGGGGCGGGACUAUCUAAUUAACUAGCCAAUGGCAGACAGUGCCACAGAAAUCAUGAACUGCAGCUUUAAGCAAACAUCCCCCCUAUUUCCCCUUACAGCCCUCUAAUGUUAGCCGUCACCAGUGCAUUUAAAGUGACAAAAUCAAGGCGGAUAAAAGCUAGUCUCUUGCUCUCUGAUUAUUUGACAAAAGAGAGAAAGAAGCAGAGGGUGAAGAGCGAGUGGAAAAGUGGUUUUGAACACCCACUUGUCAAAUGGUGAAUUAAUCAAAAAUAAGCUUUAAAUAACGAUGUUGUUUUCUUUUUCCUUUCUUUCACCGUGGCCAACUCCUCUAAAGCAAUGCAGAUUGCAAAUAGCUCUGGGAUGCUGGGUAACAGACUAAUGUUUCAUAUAUACUCCUGGCUUUAAUAGGGAGACAAUCUGAUGGAUGGACGAAAUGAGGAUACAGACACACAACACAUACAGUGAGGUCCAAAAGUCCACUAUGCACUGUAAAAACUGAUUUUUCAAAGUUGUAAAUAAAAAUUAUUUGAGAUUCAAUAAGGCUUUUCACAUUUGAAAUAGUUAACCUUGGGUCAUUCUAAACCUCAGGUAAAAGCAAUCCUUCUUCACACAAUUCAUGUGUUUUCAGUCACCAUUAAACAUUUUUCCUUUUUUUUUAUGCACAAUGUUUCCAUGACGGUCCAAAGCAAGUCAAUGAGAGGCAUCCGAUUGGGUGUCUAUUGCUAAGCUUCUAGCAGUAACAUUCUGGUACCAAAAUGCGAGGUUAACACUGCAAAAGCGGUGUCGAACCAGUUUCUAAAUUACAAGUGUGAACCUACAUUUUAUAACGUUUAUAAUGACCCAUAAUUCCCAUGGUUAAGUUUAGACUUGGACCCCCCCCCCCCCCUUUAUUUUACAUAAAAACAUUUAACAUUUUUCAAAAGUAUAUUUUCAGAUUUUGAAUCCCAGAUCUUUCGUGUGGACUUUUGGACUCCACAACAUCAUUGAUUGAAACUAAGACACUACAGCGAGCUGUUACUUUUAUCCUCCUCUUUCUCGCUCUUCUUUUUUCUUCCAUUUUUUUUUUCUGAUUAAAAUGGAAAUCAAUCAACCCCUUUUAGCCUGAGUCUCAAGACUCAGAGUGUCUCGGCUCUUUACUCUGAAUUUACACAAAGACGGCAGGCUAGCAAACACUUUUAACACUGCUGAGACAAAGUUUUUCUGUUCUUUCUUACUAUCUUGUUAAAGGGGCAGUUCACACAAAAAUCUACAUUUUGUAAUCAUUUACUCACCCCAUGUUAUUCUAGAUCUAUAUGAUUUACUUUCUUCUGUCUAACACAAACGAAUAUAUUAGGAAGAACGUUUGGGGUCCAAAAAACAUUGGAAUAGACAAAAAAUACAAAGAAAUCAGUCAGUCAAACAGGUUUGGAAUGACAUGAAGUAAAUCAUGACAAGACUUUAAUUUUAUGUAAUACCUGUCUGUCCACCUGUCCAUGUAUACACGCACAACAGGAGAGGGCUGUUAACCCAGAUCUCUUUUUAAAAAAUAUUUCCAUUUCCUUUCUAGCUGAAUUUUCUGUUUCUUGAUUAUCUGCUUUUCUUGAGCUUGCCGGUUUUCUAUUUAAAUCUAAAUGAAAUCCAAUCUUGCGUGCAUCAGACAGCUUGAGCUUGUUACUUUGAUGCAUGUGGGUGUGUAUAAAGGCAUUAGUGUGUAAUAUUAAUCAAGAUUUGCAAUAUAGCUAUUCUGGUAUAUCAUUUGCUAAAAGUGUCCUUCGACAAUAAGAUUUCAGAUAACUGCAAUUGGAAAAAAACAGAAAGAAAAAAAAAUCAGCUCCUUUGUGUCAAUAUGAAAGCCAGUUUCACAUCAUUUUGACAUUUUCCUCCCUCUUUUGAAUAGAGAUUUUUAUAAACCGUUGGGUUUUAUUAAAUCCAACAACUUUCUCUUGGGCUUUUUGGGCAGGUUGCUUUAUGCCAUGUGAAGGGACUUUAUACUGUAAAAAUCAGCGAUGUAAUAUAACAUUUGGUUCACGCAGAUUCACAUUUCAAUUCUGUUACCGGUUUCUCUUAGUGGUUGAAUUAAGAACAGAGUUGAAAAUGAAGAAGUAGAUUUUUCCCUCUGAAGGUUGCGCUCAACAGUCUUUGAAGAGAAAACCAUAAGAAAUUGACAUCAGCGCUUAUUUUCUUUUAUGUUAUGUAAGAUGUUCUGUCAGCAAAAAUGUAUACUUAAAAUAGUUUUAUGAAAGGUUUAUGAGGAUUGAAAGAGAAUAUCCAUUUAUAUUUUACUUUUGUAAAUGUUAUCAGUAGUGUUUUUCUUUGAACUCUUUUGUAGCACCGCUGGGUUACAGUGUCUGGAUAAAGCAGUGAAAUAAAUCAUGCAGUUGUCGAUACUGUAUGGCUUAUUUUCAAUACUCCAUACAUUCAUCUUUCUGACUACAUUUGACCAGUAGUUUGAUAAUGUACUGUACUACAAUCCCAGUGCACAAGAAUAGAGUCUGGAGCAUUGGCAGAGUACAGCUUUGAUUCCUUAUGAUAACAGUCGCCGUUAUUAAUGGACAUUUGUGUGAUUUCUACUGAAGUUGAAAUUUUUAUGCCUGUUGCUGUAUAUAUUUUAUAAGACAACCUGUCAUAUAUUUGUUGUAUGAGACAUAUUUUAAAUAAAUAUUAUUGUUCUAAACAACUGUGCUAGUAUUGCAUGUAUCUGAUUUGGGUGGAAAUUAAU
rnacentral:lncRNA from 1 species